rnacentral:rRNA from 1 species
AUUGAACGCUGGCGGCAUGCUUUACACAUGCAAGUCGAACGGUAACAGGCCUUCGGGCGCUGACGAGUGGCGAACGGGUGAGUAAUGCAUCGGAACGUGCCCAGUCGUGGGGGAUAACGCAGCGAAAGCUGUGCUAAUACCGCAUACGAUCUGCGGAUGAAAGCGGGGGACCUUCGGGCCUCGCGCGAUUGGAGCGGCCGAUGUCAGAUUAGGUAGUUGGUGGGGUAAAGGCUCACCAAUCGAACGAUCUGUAGCUGGUCUGAGAGGACGACCAGCCACACUGGGACUGAGACACGGCCCAGACACCUACGGGAGGCAGCAGUGGGGAAUUUUGGACAAUGGGCGCAAGCCUGAUCCAGCAAUGCCGCGUGCAGGAAGAAGGCCUUCGGGUUGUAAACUGCUUUUGUACGGAGCGAAAAGGCUCCCUCUAAUACAGGGGGCUCAUGACGGUACCGUAAGAAUAAGCACCGGCUAACUACGUGCCAGCCGCCGCUGUAACAC